UAAAAAGCAUUUUUCUCUCUCCCCGGCAAUCUCUCAAAAACUGCCCAGCCACAAUUUCUCCAAUCUAUACCGUCCAUUUAAAUCCAUUUAAAAUAACGGCUAUUAAGACGCCACCUCAUCUAUCUGUGUCAAACCUCAGAAAAAACAUUUUCUUCCUCCCCCACUUACGAAAAAAUCGCUUGAUGCCAUGGAGUUACGGUUUUAGGCAGAAAAUUUUGGGAUGAUACCUGUACCCUUGCCAGAAAAUGUCGGAAAAAGUCGCCUGAUACUUGUACCUUUGCCCGGCGGUUUCCUCAACCUCCUGGGACCACGAUUUUCGGCGUUUUUCGCGAGGCUCCGGAGCCCCCAGUUCCAGAUCUAGACUUGCCUGGAGCGGUGUGGGUGGGGGACAUGAUGCGGCCAGAUCUGGACUCGCCUAGACGUUCUUCCCCCCUCCAACUCGACCUCUCUCCAUGGCUGCUUCAUCCUCUGCUCAAUCAACCACAAACCUGCAGUUCUCUAUUUAUUUUUUUUUUGUUGAUUUUUGUUUGGGUGCUCUCUACUCUUUCCCAACAUAAACAAGUGAUUUUUUUUUUUUUAAUUUUUUUUAUGCCCUUGUUCUUUAAGAGAUCGACCAAAAAGUUCUAAUGGAAAAUGAAAUACUGGACUAAGAGGGAGAUGUAUUUGAUGUGCACUUGUUUUGCUGUGUUUUAACGUGGCCAAAAUUCAGACAUAGCAUGGACUUUGCUUGUCAAUUUAACCUUUAAAGUUGCUGGUUCCUUUUUAUUAUUAUUAUGUUUUUAAAGGUCUCCAUUUAGUCUGUACCCUCCUUCAGUUUGUGAAUGGUCACAUUUGAAAGAUUUUUGGUGGGUUGGCAUUGUUUGGAGGACUUAAUAUUGUCACAUUUGAAAGAUCAUUUUGUGUAAUUUUACUAUCUUUCUCA